CGGAGCGAUGCGUUGAGCUAACCGGUACUAAUGAACCGUGAGGCUUAACCUUACAACGCCAAAG
rnacentral:rRNA from 1 species